AGACACAGAACCGUUGACCCCUGUGGCGGGGUGGAGAGACGGGCUGGCUUUAUUUCAAAGCUCUCUAAGGAGGCGGGCGGGGCCGCGGGGCAGGGAGGACUGGCUGGCCUCUGGGCGUCCCUAUGAAGAGGAUCUUUUGGUCCAGGAGGAGGCGCCCUCGGCCGGGCCACUUCUCCACCAGCCCGUGGGCAUCCUGCCUGGGCUUUGGGUGUGCCGGAGGUGAAAGCCAGGCAGUGCCCAGAUACCUCGCUGGAUACUGCGCGGUGGGACAGCUCCACCGGGCUGCGAGUGUCGGCGCUGUAGCUACAGUGGAGCGUUUCCUCACGUUCCGGGUAAACGGUGUCAACGACCCAGACAAGAAGAACAGAACUGCACUGCACUAUGCUUGUGCGCAUGGCCACCUGGGGGUGGUAACUCUUCUCAUAGAGAGGAACUGCAACAUUAAUGCCUGCGAUGACGACAACUGCACGCCUCUCAUUAAGGCCUCACAGCAUCAGCAUGGGGACUGUGUGGCUGCCUUGCUACAACACGGUGCAGAUCCCAAUGCUGUGGAUGCUCUUGGAAACACUGCCCUCCACUAUGCAGUACACAGUGAAAACACGUUCAUAGCUUCCCAGCUCCUUGAACACAGCGCCAACAUUGAAGCCAAAACAAAGGAGAGAACCUGCCACACAUUUGAUGAAAAUGAACAGAAGUGAAAAUAAAGGCUAUUUUCCGGGAGAUUCCAUGGCAACGUUUGAGAAGUGUGCUGCAGACACAAGUGCUGAGCCACCAGUGAAGCAGAGCUGUGCUCGCCAACUCCAUCAGGACGGACAAAGCCCUGCAAAGAGCACAUCUAAAGAAAAGCACGAGGCCAAGAAGCAAAUCAACGGUGUGGAAGGCCUGGAAGAUGGGACUCUGCCGUGUGAAGCAGCCUCAGAUGACUUUGCAGGAAGCACAGUUGCAAGAAGAUCCACAGAGGGAAGGUGUCCUGAGUUCUGCAAGAAUGGAACAUCUGCUAUGGAAGCUGGAAGUUGAGUGUCUCAAGUUAGAAGACUCAGUAAAGAACCAAGCAGAAGAAAUUGAAGAGAUUGAGAAUCAACUGUUACGAGAAGAUUUGACUGGAGACAAAAAGAGAGAACGAAGCGAAGUGACCCAGUCAACACAAUCUCUGGCACGUGCUUUGGAGCAGGAGAUGGAGAAAAGUGAAGAAUUAAAAAAGGAACUCUGUGGAUUUAUGGAAGUCUUAAAAAUGACAGGAAAGAAGUUAGAUGAA